AGUGAAGAAUGUUAGGCAAUGUACGAAAGUAUGACCUAUUGAAUUAGCGGAAAUGAAGAAGGCUAUAGCAGUUGUAAAGUUUGAUCGUAUAAUAAAAUUAUGAUAUUAUAUUAUAAAGAGAAGUCACGGCAAACAUAGGUGCCAGCAGCCGCGGUAAUACCUUAGUGACAAGCAUUAUUCGUUAUAAUUGGGUGUAAAGGAUGCGUAGAGACUUAACAAGCUUAAUUACUAAAUACAUAAGUUGAAUUCUAAGCUAUAGUUAUAGUUGAGUAUAUAUACAGAGUUGGGAUGUAUCUAAAUAGUGAUAGAAUACUAAAAUUUAGCUAUUUUUGCCGAUAUUUAAUUAUACGCUCUUAUAUAUUCUAACCUUGAGGCAUUAAAGUAGGGGAAUAAACAGGAUUAGAGACCCUGGUAAUCCUUACCCUAAAACUUACUUGAUUUUUUAUUAUUUACUAUAAUAAAUCACCAGAUGAGUAU
rnacentral:rRNA from 1 species